rnacentral:rRNA from 1 species
UGAGGAAUGUUGGUCAAUGGGCGCAAGCCUGAACCAGCCAUCCCGCGUGCAGGAAGACGGCGCUAUGCGUUGUAAACUGCUUUUCCAGGGGGAGAAACUUGCGCACGUGUUGCGCAAUUGACGGUACCCUGGGAAUAAGCAUCGGCUAACUCCGUGCCAGCAGCCGCGGUAAUACGUAGGUGGCGAGCGUUAUCCGGAUUUACUGGGCGUAAAGGGAGCGUAGGCGGAUGAUUAAGUCAGUGGUGAAAUCCUGCAGCUUAACUGCAGAACUGCCAUUGAUACUGAUAGCCUUGAGUUUGGUUAAGGUAGGCGGAAUGUGUAAUGUAGCGGUGAAAUGCUUAGAUAUUACACAGAACACCAAUUGCGUAGGCAGCUUACUGAGCCGACACUGACGCUGAGGCACGAAAGCGUGGGGAUCGAACA